AAUGAACGUUGGCGGCGUGGAUUAGGCAUGCAAGUCGUGCGGUAAGGCCCCUUCGGGGGUACACGAGCGGCGAAAGGGAGAGUAACGCGUGGAAUACCUGCCCCUGGAUCCGGGAUAGCCGUGGGAAACUGCGGGUAAUACCGGAUAAUAUCUUCGGAUCAAAGGUGUGAUUCCGUCUGGGGAUGGUUCCGCGUCCUAUUAGCUUGUUGGUGGGGUAACGGCCUACCAAGGCUACGAUGGGUACCGGGUGUGAGAGCAUGGCCCGGCUCACUGGGACUGAGACACUGCCCAGACACCUACGGGUGGCUGCAGUCGAGAAUCUUCGGCAAUGGACGCAAGUCUGACCGAGCGACGCCGCGUGUGGGAUGAAGGCCUUCGGGUUGUAAACCGCUGUCAGUUGGGAGGAAAUGCAUAGGGGUUCUCUCCUAUGUUUGACCUAUCUUCAGAGGAAGUACGGGCUAAGUUCGUG
rnacentral:rRNA from 1 species